rfam:Danio rerio chromosome 18, GRCz11 reference primary assembly.
GAUUUUAACAAAAAAAAAAAAAAAAAAAAAAAAAAAAAAAAGCACGCCCGAUCUCGUCCGAUCUCGGAAGCUAAGCAGGGUCGGGCCUGGUUAGUACUUGGAUGGGAGACCGCCUGGGAAUACCAGGUGCUGUAAGCU